rnacentral:rRNA from 1 species
GGCGAGUGAAGCGGCAACAGCUCAAAUUUGAAAUCUGGCCCCUAGGGUCCGAGUUGUAAUUUGCAGAGGAUGCUUUUGGCGAGGUGCCUUCCGAGUUCCCUGGAACGGGACGCCAUAGAGGGUGAGAGCCCCGUCUGGUUGGAUACCGAGCCUCUGUAAAGCUCCUUCGACGAGUCGAGUAGUUUGGGAAUGCUGCUCUAAAUGGGAGGUAUAUGUCUUCUAAAGCUAAAUAUUGGCCAGAGACCGAUAGCGCACAAGUAGAGUGAUCGAAAGAUGAAAAGCACUUUGAAAAGAGGGUUAAAUAGUACGUGAAAUUGUUGAAAGGGAAGCGCUCAUGACCAGACUUGGGCCCGGUGAAUCAACCAGCGUUCUCGCUGGUGCACUUUGCCGGGCUCAGGCCAGCAUCAGUUUGCCCUGGGGGAUAAAGGCUCUGGGAAUGUGGCUCCUCCGGGAGUGUUAUAGCCCACUGCACAAUACCCUGGGGCGGACUGAGGUUCGCGCAUUCGUGCAAGGAUGCUGGCGUAAUGGUCAUCAGCGACCCGU